ensembl:snRNA U6 U6 spliceosomal RNA
GUGCUCACUUCAGCAGCACAUACAUUAAAAUUGGAAUGAUACAGAGAAGAUUAACAUGACCACUGUGCAAGGAUGCCCCGCAAAUUCGUGAAGCAUUCCAUGUUUUU